GAUGAACGCUAGCGGCAGGCUUAAUACAUGCAAGUCGUGGGGCAGCAGGUUUGUAGCAAUACAGAUGCUGGCGACCGGCAAACGGGGUGCGGAACACGUACAGAACCUUCCUUUGAGCGGGGAAUAGCCCAGAGAAAUUUGGAUUAAUACCCCAUAGUAUAAUGAAGUGGCAUCACUUUAUUAUUAAAGAUUUAUCACUCGAAGAUGGCUGUGCGGCUGAUUAGGUAGUUGGCGGGGUAAAGGCCCACCAAGCCUGCGAUCAGUAACUGGUGUGAGAGCACGACCAGUCACACGGGCACUGAGACACGGGCCCGACUCCUACGGGAGGCAGCAGUAAGGAAUAUGGUCAAUGGAGGCAACUCUGAACCAGCCAUGCCGCGUGGAGGAUGAAGGUCCUCUGGAUUGUAAACUUCUUUUAUAUGGGACGAAAAAGG
rnacentral:rRNA from 1 species